rnacentral:rRNA from 1 species
ACCUCUGCAAUAGGCGAAAGCUUGACAGGGUUACUCUGAGUGACUUUCGCUAAGAAAGUCUUUUGACACCUCUAAAAAUGGUGUAGAAUAAGGGGUGGGCAAGUCUGGUGUCAGCCGCCGCGGUAAUACCAGCACCCCGAGUGGUCGGGACGAUUAUUGGGCCUAAAGCAUCCGUAGCCGGCCUUACAAGUCCCCCGUUAAAUCCAACUGCUUAACAGAUGGGCUGCGGAGGAUACUAUAAGACUAGGAGGCAGGAGAGGCAAGCGGUACUCAGUGGGUAGGGGUAAAAUCCGUUGAUCCAUUGAAGACCACCAGUGGCGAAGGCGGCUUGCCAGAAUGCGCUCGACGGUGAGGGAUGAAAGCUGGGGGAGCAAACCGGAUUAGAUACCCGGGUAGUCCCAGCUGUAAACGAUGCAGACUCGGUGAUGGACUAGCUUAAUGCUAGUCCAGUGCCGCAGGGAAGCCGUUAAGUCUGCCGCCUGGGUAGUACGGUCGCAAGACUGAAACUUAA